rnacentral:rRNA from 1 species
UACGGAAGGGGCAAGCGUUGUUCGGAAUCAUUGGGCGUAAAGGGCGCGUAGGUGGUUCUGUAUGUCUACCGUGAAAGCGUACGGCUCAACCGUAUUUUGUCGGUAGAAACUGCAGGACUUGAGGCUGGGGAGGGGCUGGUGGAAUUCCCUGUGUAGCGGUGAAAUGCGCAGAUAUCAGGAGGAACACCGGUGGCGAAGGCGGGUCUCUGGGCCGAUACUGACGCUGAGGAGCGAAAGCAUGGGUAGCGAACAGG